AUUUAAAUAGCUUAAUAAAGAGUAUAACAUUGAAGAUGUUAGGGUGAUUAAAUAGAAUCUUUAAAUA
rnacentral:tRNA from 1 species